CGAACGGGUGAGUAAUGCGUGACCAACCUGCCCCAUGCUCCAGAAUAGCUCUUGGAAACGGGUGGUAAUGCUGGAUGCUCCAACUUGACGCAUGUCUUGUUGGGAAAGUGUUUAGUGGCAUGGGAUGGGGUCGCGUCCUAUCAGCUUGUAGGCGGGGUAAUGGCCCACCUAGGCUUCGACGGGUAGCCGGCCUGAGAGGGCGGACGGCCACAUUGGGACUGAGAUACGGCCCAGACUCCUACGGGAGGCAGCAGCCG
rnacentral:rRNA from 1 species